rnacentral:rRNA from 1 species
AGAGUUUGAUCAUGGCUCAGAUUGAACGCUGGCGGCAGGCCUAACACAUGCAAGUCGAGCGGUAACAGAAAGUAGCUUGCUACUUUGCUGACGAGCGGCGGACGGGUGAGUAAUGCUUGGGAACAUGCCUUGAGGUGGGGGACAACAGUUGGAAACGACUGCUAAUACCGCAUAAUGUCUACGGACCAAAGGGGGCUUCGGCUCUCGCCUUUAGAUUGGCCCAAGUGGGAUUAGCUAGUUGGUGAGGUAAUGGCUCACCAAGGCGACGAUCCCUAGCUGGUUUGAGAGGAUGAUCAGCCACACUGGGACUGAGACACGGCCCAGACUCCUACGGGAGGCAGCAGUGGGGAAUAUUGCGCAAUGGGCGCAAGCCUGAUGCAGCCAUGCCGCGUGUGUGAAGAAGGCCUUCGGGUUGUAAAGCACUUUCAGUCAGGAGGAAAGGUUAGUAGUUAAUACCUGCUAGCUGUGACGUUACUGACAGAAGAAGCACCGGCUAACUCCGUGCCAGCAGCCGCGGUAAUACGGAGGGUGCGAGCGUUAAUCGGAAUUACUGGGCGUAAAGCGUACGCAGGCGGUUUGUUAAGCGAGAUGUGAAAGCCCCGGGCUCAACCUGGGAACUGCAUUUCGAACUGGCAAACUAGAGUGUGAUAGAGGGUGGUAGAAUUUCAGGUGUAGCGGUG